rnacentral:sRNA from 1 species
CACGAAGAUUGGACCGAACUUGUCGUA